GGGGUCUUCCAAGAGAGAGAGCUUUUGUGAGAGAAACUUUUAAUGAGAAAGAAAUUGGGUAUAUGAGGGUUGAGGGUAAGAUCUUCUCUUGUAAAUUUCUUUUUUAUAGUGAAGUUUGCAUAUCCCGUGAAGGCGAGCCCGAUCCACGUAUUUUGAUUGUUUUCGUUUUUGUUUCUUCUUUCUUUUUGCUGCAUCAUGGUACUGAAAAGAUCUUGGGAGGUGGUGUCCUGGCCAGACAUUCACCCAACAAUACACAAACACAUACAUACCUACAUACACAC
rnacentral:lncRNA from 1 species